GAUGAACGCUAGCUACAGGCUUAACACAUGCAAGUCGAGGGGCAAGCAUUUUAGUUUGCUUGCAAACUAAAGAUGGCGACCGGCGCACGGGUGAGUAACACGUAUCCAACCUGCCGAUAACUCGGGGAUAGCCUUUCGAAAGAAAGAUUAAUAUCCGAUAGCAUAUUGAGAUCGCAUGAUUUUGAUAUUAAAGAAUUUCGGUUAUCGAUGGGGAUGCGUUCCAUUAGUUGUUGGCGGGGUAACGCCCACCAAGACUACGAUGGAUAGGGGUUCUGAGAGGAAGGUCCCCCACAUUGGAAACUGAGACACGGGUCCAAAACUCCUAACGGGGAGGCAGCAGUGAGGAAUAUUGGUCAAUGGACGAGAGUCUGAACCAGCCAAGUAGACGUGAAGGAUGACUGCCCUAUGGGUUGUAAACUUCUUUUAUACCGGGAAUAAA
rnacentral:rRNA from 1 species